CGAGUCUUGUAGCAAUACAAGGCAUACAGCUCAGUAACGCGUAGUCCACCUAACCUAUGGACGGGAAUAACCUCGGGAAACUGAGAAUAAUGCCCGAUAGAACAUUAUGCCUGGAAUGGUUUAUGUUCCAAAUGAUUUAUCGCCGUAGGAUGGGACUGCGGCCUAUCAGUUUGUUGGUGAGGUAAUGGCCCACCAAGACUAUUACAGGUACGGGCUCUGAGAGGAGUAGCCCGGAGAUGGGUACUGAGACACGGACCCAGGCCCUAUGGGGCGCAGCAGGCGAGAAAACUUUGCAAUGUGCGAAAGCACGACAAGGUUAAUCCGAGUGGUUUCUGCUAAAGAAACCUUUUGUCAGUCCUAGAAACACUGAUGAAUAAGGGGUGGGCAAGUUCUGGUGUCAGCCGCCGCGGUAAAACCAGCACCUCAAGUGGUCAGGAUGAUUAUUGGGCCUAAAGCAUCCGUAGCCGGCUCUGUAAGUUUUCGGUUAAAUCUGUACGCUCAACGUACAGGCUGCCGGGAAUACUGCAGAGCUAGGGAGUGGGAGAGGUAGACGGUACUCGGUAGGAAGGGGUAAAAUCUUUUGAUCUAUUGAUGACCACCUG
rnacentral:rRNA from 1 species